CCCUUAGCAACGCCCUUGACAACGAAAAUGCUUUUCUUCGUCAAUCUUCGUAAAUCUUCAGAAAUGAUGUCACAUGGAGAACUGCGAGGGAAGUCCGCCAUUGAACAGCAUUGUUGCAUUGCUUGUUGCGAAUGAAUUUCUCGCCAUCAUUGACGAGUGUUCUCUGCUAUCUCCACUUCAAAGAUGCCUGCUUUCUCAACCGGUCUGCUUAUGAUCAAGGA